rnacentral:rRNA from 1 species
UAGGGAAUCUUCCACAAUGGACGCAAGUCUGAUGGAGCAACGCCGCGUGAGUGAAGAAGGUUUUCGGACCGUAAAGCUCUGUUGUUGGUGAAGAAGGAUAGAGGUAGUAACUGGCCUUUAUUUGACGGUAAUCAACCAGAAAGUCACGGCUAACUACGUGCCAGCAGCCGCGGUAAUACGUAGGUGGCAAGCGUUGUCCGGAUUUAUUGGGCGUAAAGCGAGCGCAGGCGGAAGAAUAAGUCUGAUGUGAAAGCCCUCGGCUUAACCGAGGAAUUGCAUCGGAAACUGUUUUUCUUGAGUGCAGAAGAGGAGAGUAGAACUCCAUGUGUAGCGGUGGAAUGCGUAGAUAUAUGGAAGAAUACCAGUGGCGAAGGCGGCUCUCUGGUCUGCAACUGACGCUGAGGCUCGAAAGCAUGGGUAGCGAACAGGAUUAGAUACCCCUGGU